rnacentral:misc_RNA from 1 species
GUAUCGCGAUUCCAGAAGUCAUUGUCCUGCAGCGUUAUGACAGGAUGCCGGUCGGUGAAGUGAAGUUCACGCGGCGCAAUAUCUAUGAACAUUACGGGCACCGCUGCUGUUAUUGCGGCCAUAAAUACAGCACGCAUGAGCUGAACCUCGAACACGUUCUGCCCAAGUCCCGCGGCGGCAGAACGGAUUGGACCAAUAUCGUGACGGCCUGCAUUCCCUGCAACUUAAGGAAGGCCGAUAAGCUUCCCGACGAAGCCGGCAUGCGUCUUCUGCUCAAACCCUCCAAGCCCAAAUGGCGCGGAAGCGCCUCCCUCGUUCUGAAGGCCCCCUUUAAAAUGAAGGCCUCCUGGCAGCGGUU